GAUGAACGCUAGCGGCAGGCUUAAUACAUGCAAGUCAAGGGGGUAGCAAUACAACCGGCGCACGGGUGAGUAACGCGUACACAACAUACCAUAUACUGGAGUAUAGCUUUGGGAAACUGAAGGUAAUCCUCCAUAACAUUGCGAGAGGGCAUCUGAUUGCAAUUAAAGUUUUGGCGGUAUAUGAUUGGUGUGCGUUUGAUUAGCUACUUGGUAGGGUAACGGCCUACCAAGGCGACGAUCAAUAGCUGGCGUGAGAGCGCGACCAGCCACACUGGAACUGAGACACGGUCCAGACUCCUACGGGAGGCAGCAGUAGGGAAUAUUGGACAAUGGAGGAAACUCUGAUCCAGCCAUGCCGCGUGAUAGAUGAAGGCCCUCUGGGUUGUAAAUAUCUUUUAUCUGGGAAGAAACACUCCUAUUCUUAGGAACUUGACGGUACCAGAGGAAUAAGCACCGGCUAACUCCGUGCCAGCAGCCGCGGUAAAGUA
rnacentral:rRNA from 1 species